GCCGGGUAUGGUGGUUCAUGCCUGUAAUCCCAGUGGCUCAGGAGGCUGAGGCAGGAGGAUCAUGAGUUCAAAGUCAACCUCAGCAAAAGUGAGGCGCUAAACAACUCAGUGAGACCCUGUCUCUA
rnacentral:sRNA from 1 species